rnacentral:rRNA from 1 species
UACAGAGGGUGCGAGCGUUGUCCGGAUUUACUGGGCGUAAAGCGCGCGCAGGCGGUCUUCUACGUCUGGGGUGAAAACCCGGGGCUCAACCCCGGGACUGCCUUGGAUACGGGAAGACUUGAGGAUCGGAGAGGCAAGGGGAAUUCCACGUGUAGCGGUGAAAUGCGUAGAGAUGUGGAGGAACACCUGUGGCGAAGGCGCCUUGCUGGCCGAUUUCUGACGCUGAGGCGCGAAAGCGUGGGGAGCAAACAGG